GUGACAGAAGAGAGUGAGCACACAUAGGCUUCUUGCAUCAUAUAUUUCUCCACUACGACCCUCUCUCUACAUGCUUGAAGCUAUCUGUGCUCACUCUCUAUCUGUCUC
rnacentral:pre_miRNA from 1 species